GCUCUGGACCACUUUGCUGGAGGAGAGAAAGGGAGAGAGAGGUUGGCAGAGAUGCCUUUGGUCUGAGGCUGCCCUGGUGGCUCCCUCCGCCCCUCUGGGUCAGGAUGGAAAAGGAUCCCCCCAUUCACAGGAGGCACCGGCCUGGUCCUGGAGCCCUGCCUUCAGGAAUAACCCCUGGAUACCUCAAGGUGGCCAGUGAGGGGGCUGAUCUCCAGAGGAGCAGGAGUGUGGGUGGCUUGCACCAGAAGGGGGAUCCACCAGUCUGCAUCAGGAAACUACUACACUCUGAGGAUCCAAGAAACGACACUGAUGACAUCAUCUGUCAGGUGAGCCUAGAGGAAGACAGAAAGAAAAAGAACCAGGAUGAGCCCGGAAAACUGGACCCAAAGUGUGGGAAAACGGAGCCAGAGAAGAGUGGCUCAGAGGCCAGCGCCACAGAACAAGAUGAUACCCACAAAGGAAGAUGUACCUCAGUGGCCGAGGGACAAGAGCCAGAGUCCAUGAAGCUGAAUAACCUUCUAGAAAAACAGAAACCAUCUGUGUUUGUGGAGAUCGACCUGGGAGACCAUAUUGAAGAGGAGGUGGUCACCUGUGCCGUAAGAGAAGAGAAGAGGCUUCCAAUGGACACAGGGGACUUGUCAGAGGAUGAGACAAGGACCAGCUGGGUAUGCUGCAUCCCAUAUUCCACAAAGAAGAAGGUAAAGGAAGCUACCAGUGCUUUGGAGAAGAACCACCAGUGGUCUCAGGACAGGACCUAUCUGACUCAGCCACUGGUAGAGCUCUCUGGGGACUAAGGGAAGACAGCCCAGGCCUGGGACAGCUUCAUGAUCCCCCCUCCAUGGGCAGGGUCAGAGUGACAGCAGCCGACGGAGACCCACUGCAGGGACCCUCCUCCAACCCAAGGCCAAUCACAGUCCUAGGCACCAACUAUGCAGGACCAACGGGCAUGCCACCCCACCGGUGUCACAGAACGUAAGCUCCAGCUAAUUGCUCACUAAAGGAAAACAACACCGUGUGAAUGCCUCGCUGGAGUUACGAUGUCAUACGUAGGCAACCUCCAGGCCGCAGCUGGAGAGGAGAAAGGCCAAAGUCACCUCUGAACUGUCCCCUCCCUGCACCCAUAUCCUUGCACACACACACAUACCCCAAGCCUUGGGCCACAGCCUUCCUUAGUACCUCUACCUGGAAGCCUGGUUCUCUAAGGAUGCUUGGGGAUGUGAACUCCCCCAAUGACUUUCCCAUGUGUGACCCCCCCAUACACACACACACCAAAAAAAAAACCCCAAAAAACAAAGCAAAACAAUUCCUCAAACAUGUAACUCUGAAGCCCUGAGUACCUGCACUCAUCAAGGACAUGGUGAGUUCAUGGAAGACAGAGGUUAGCAGAAGCUUGA